GGUGCGGUACGCCAGUGGCGAGCGGCCGAUUUUAGGGGUCGGUGUUUGAGAGUUCGAGUCUCUCCCGCACUA
rnacentral:tRNA from 1 species